rnacentral:rRNA from 1 species
CCUUUGCUGGCGACCGGCGCACGGGUGAGUAACACGUAUCCAACCUGCCCUUUACUCGGGGAUAGCCUUUCGAAAGAAAGAUUAAUACCCGAUAGCAUAAUGAUUCCGCAUGGUUUCAUUAUUAAAGGAUUCCGGUAAAGGAUGGGGAUGCGUUCCAUUAGGUUGUUGGUGAGGUAACGGCUCACCAAGCCUUCGAUGGAUAGGGGUUCUGAGAGGAAGGUCCCCCACAUUGGAACUGAGACACGGUCCAA